rnacentral:rRNA from 1 species
GUGCCAGCAGCCGCGGUAAUACGGAGGAUGCGAGCGUUAUCCGGAUUUAUUGGGUUUAAAGGGUGCGUAGGCGGCCUGUCAAGUCAGCGGUGAAAUCCCCGUGCUCAACAUGGGAACUGCCGUUGAUACUGCCGGGCUGGAGUACGGUUGCCGUGGGAGGAAUGUGUGGUGUAGCGGUGAAAUGCUUAGAUAUCACACAGAACACCGAUUGCGAAGGCAUCUCACGAAGCCGUUUACUGACGCUGAGGCACGAAAGCGUGGGGAUCAAACAGGAUUAGAUACCCUGGUAGUCC